ACGGAUCUCUUGGUUCUGGCAUCGAUGAAGAACGCAGCAAAAUGCGAUAAGUAAUGUGAAUUGCAGAAUUCAGUGAAUCAUCGAAUCUUUGAACGCACAUUGCGCCCGCCAGUAUUCUGGCGGGCAUGCCUGUUCGAGCGUCAUUUCAACCCUCAAGCCCCCGGGUUUGGUGUUGGGGAUCGGCGAGCCCUUGCGGCAAGCCGGCCCCGAAAUCUAGUGGCGGUCUCGCUGCAGCUUCCAUUGCGUAGUAGUAAAACCCUCGCAACUGGUACGCGGCGCGGCCAAGCCGUUAAACCCCCAACUUCUGAAUGUUGACCUCGGAUCAGGUAGGAAUACCCGC
rnacentral:rRNA from 1 species